CUUAUGACAAGUCAGCUGUUGGUGACAUCACAGAUGCUGGAUCAUAUGUCAGAAACCUUUGCUACAUGACUUAAAUCUCUUAUGGCUCAGCAGCAACAGAGGCCACUUGAGGAAGAAGUUAAUAAGGAUCCAGAAGACGCGUCUGAACCUUCUCUGAUGUCCCAAAGUGAAGAGGCUAAGAACAGGUAACUGGACUAGCUAGCUUACUGUAAAUAACUUAUACCAAAUAACUAACAGCGAGCUAUACGUUUCCUGCUCCAUGGACCCAGAGUACUUUGUGUAUGUAGGGUUAAUAGUAAUGAUGAUCUACUGACGUUAUGGGUUAAAAAAUCAUACUGUAGUUUUUAUAUAUAUUUGUUGCUUAGUUUUUUUUUUUUU